CUCUACCAGCAGGGGUAGCUGGUUCACCCCCAAGAGAAUCCAGACUCCUCCUUGCCCAGUGAAGGUUCUUGUAAGUGGAUUCAUACCACGUAGCUCCUCUGGAAGCAAGGUCAACUCCAGGUCAACUAGAUCCUGGUCUUCUGUUUCGCUCUGCGAAGGCUGCAGCAAUGGAGCUGUGCUGUCUGUAAGUAACUACCACCACAUGCCAGGAGCUCAGACAAUAGACACUGCUCACAUUUCUGAAGGCUUCGAUCAAGGCCUUGGUAGAUUUGAUGUGUAUUUUGUGUUUGUUUGUUUAAGACAGGGUCUCACCAAGUAGCCCCGGCUGCCUGAAACUCACUUUGCAGACCAGACUGGCCUUGAACUCAUGGAGUUCUGCUUGCCUCUAUCUCCCAAGCACUGGGACUGAAGGUGUGUGUCACCAGGCCCUGCUAAAUGUGGCAUCUUUGUGAGGGAUCAUAGACAGUGCUUUUCCCUGUUCCUUCACAGGGUGGAAGGGGCCAGGAAUCUGACAUGGAAUGAUUUAGGAUGGCUUUACUCCCUAACCACCCUCACCUCACUAACACCUCUGCCUUAGGGGUUAGGAUUUGAACACAGAAGGUUUGGGAGGAUACAACCUAACAACCUUUAGAAGUACUCUGAUUCCGGUCACUCAAGUGUUUGUGUGUGAUAAUGGGUACAUUAGUUCCUGUUGAAAUAAAUGAUUUGGGGCUAGAGGAACA
rnacentral:lncRNA from 1 species